rnacentral:rRNA from 1 species
UACGUAGGGGGCAAGCGUUGUCCGGAAUCAUUGGGCGUAAAGAGCGCGUAGGCGGUCCGGUAAGUCCGCUGUGAAAGUCAAGGGCUCAACCCUUGAAUGCCGGUGGAUACUGUCGGGCUAGAGUCCGGAAGAGGCGAGUGGAAUUCCUGGUGUAGCGGUGAAAUGCGCAGAUAUCAGGAGGAACACCAAUGGCGAAGGCGGCGUGCUGGACCCGUCCUGACGCUGAGGCGCGAAAGCCAGGGGAGCGAACGGG